UACGUAGGGCGCGAGCGUUGUCCGGAAUUAUUGGGCGUAAAGAGCUCGUAGGCGGCCUGUUGCGUCUGCUGUGAAAUCCCGGGGCUUAACCCCGGGCGUGCAGUGGAUACGGGCAGGCUGGAGGCAGGCAGGGGAGAAUGGAAUUCCCGGUGUAGCGGUGAAAUGCGCAGAUAUCGGGAGGAACACCGGUGGCGAAGGCGGUUCUCUGGGCCUGUACUGACGCUGAGGAGCGAAAGCGUGGGGAGCGAACAGG
rnacentral:rRNA from 1 species